rnacentral:rRNA from 1 species
GGUGGUGCGAUGGUUGUCGUCAGCUCGUGUCGUGAGAUGUUGGGUUAAGUCCCGCAACGAGCGCAACCCUUGUCAUUAGUUGCUACAUUCAGUUGGGCACUCUAAUGAGACUGCCGGUGACAAGCCGGAGGAAGGUGGGGAUGACGUCAAAUCAUCAUGCCCUUUAUGACCUGGGCUACAAACGUACUACAAUGGCCAAUACAAAGAGAUGCGAAGCGGUGACGCGGAGCGAACCUCAGAAAGUUGGUCUCAGUUCAGAUUGAAGUCUGCAACUCGACUUCAUGAAGGCGGAAUCGCUAGUAAUCGCGGGUCAGCAGACCGCGGUGAAUACGUUCCCGGGUUU